rnacentral:rRNA from 1 species
UACGAAAGGUGCAAGCGUUAAUCGGAAUUACUGGGCGUAAAGCGCGCGUAGGCGGCUUGGUAAGUUGGAUGUGAAAGCCCCGGGCUCAACCUGGGAACUGCAUCCAAAACUGCCUAGCUAGAGUAUUGGAGAGGUAAGCGGAAUUCCAGGUGUAGCGGUGAAAUGCGUAGAGAUCUGAAGGAACACCAGUGGCGAAGGCGACUCCCUGGAUUGAUACUGACACUGAGGUGCGAAAGCGUGGGGAGCAAACAGG